rnacentral:rRNA from 1 species
CGGUGAAUACGUUCCCGGGUCUUGUACACACCGCCCGUCACACCACGAGAGUUUGUAACACCCGAAGACGGUGGCCUAACCUUUUAGGAGGGAGCCGGUCACGGUGGGACAGAUGAUUGGGGUGAAGUCGUAACAAGGUAGCCGUAUCGGAAGGUGCGGCUGGAUCACCUCCUUU